rnacentral:rRNA from 1 species
GGCAUGCCUUACACAUGCAAGUCGAACGGUAACAGGUCUUCGGAUGCUGACGAGUGGCGAACGGGUGAGUAAUACAUCGGAACGUGCCCAGUAAUGGGGGAUAGCUCGGCGAAAGCCGGAUUAAUACCGCAUACGCCCUGAGGGGGAAAGUGGGGGAUCGCAAGACCUCACGUUAUUGGAGCGGCCGAUGGCUGAUUAGCUAGUUGGUAGGGUAAAGGCCUACCAAGGCGACGAUCAGUAGCUGGUCUGAGAGGACGAUCAGCCACACUGGGACUGAGACACGGCCCAGACUCCUACGGGAGGCAGCACUGGGGAAUUUUGGACAAUGGGGGAAACCCUGAUCCAGCAAUGCCGCGUGUGCGAAGAAGGCCUUCGGGUUGUAAAGCACUUUUGUCAGGGAAGAAAUCCUUUGGGCUAAUACCCUACGGGGAUGACGGUACCUGAAGAAUACCCACCGGCUAACUACGUGCCAGCAGGCCGCGGUAAUGACGAAGGGUGCAAGCGUUAAUCGGGAUUUACUGGGCGUAAAGCGUGCGCAGGGCGGGUGUGUAAGACAAGGUGUGAAAUCCCCCGGCUUUACCUGGGGAAUUGCAUUUGUGACUGCACGACUAGAGUGUGUCAGAGGGGGGUGAAAUUCCACGUGUAGCAGUGAAAUGCGUAGAUAUGUGGAGGAACACCAAUGGCGAAGGCAGCCCCCUGGGAUAACACUGACGCUCAUGCACGAAAGCGUGGGGAGCAAACAGGAUUAGAUACCUUGGUAGUCCACGCCAUAAACGAUGUCAACUAGUUGUUGGGGAUUUACUUCCUUGGUAACGUAGCUAACGCGUGAAGUUGACCGCCUGGGGAGUACGGCCGCAAGGUUAAAACUCAAAGGAAUUGACGGGGACCCGCACAAGCGGUGGAUGAUGUGGAUUAAUUCGAUGCAACGCGAAAAACCUUACCUACCCUUGACAUGGCAGGAACUUUCCAGAGAUGGAUUGGUGCUCGAAAGAGAACCUGCACACAGGUGCUGCAUGGCUGUCGUCAGCUCGUGUCGUGAGAUGUUGGGUUAAGUCCCGCAACGAGCGCAACCCUUGUCAUUAGUUGCUACGAAAGGGCACUCUAAUGAGACUGCCGGUGACAAACCGGAGGAAGGUGGGGAUGACGUCAAGUCCUCAUGGCCCUUAUGGGUAGGGCUUCACACGUCAUACAAUGGUCGGUACAGAGGGUUGCCAAGCCGCGAGGUGGAGCCAAUCCCAGAAAACCGAUCGUAGUCCGGAUCGCAGUCUGCAACUCGACUGCGUGAAGUCGGAAUCGCUAGUAAUCGCGGAUCAGAAUGCCGCGGUGAAUACGUUCCCGGGUCUUGUACACACCGCCCGUCACACCAUGGGAGUGGGUUGUACCAGAAGUGGCUAGUCUAACCGCAAGGAGGACGGUCACCACGGUAGGAUUCAUGACUGGGG